UGACCGGCCUUCAAGAGCAGAAAGAACACACCGGCAUACCAGACCAGGGCCGACAGGAUUUUGAGAACACGAGGAGAGGUCGGUUGCAUGAAUUAAAAACUCACUUCUAAAAAUAACUUAUCACUGGUUCAGGAAUUCGGUAAGACUCUUGACUAUCUGUCCCUGUCCAGAAUGUAAAU
rnacentral:rRNA from 1 species